GAUGAACGCUGGCGGCGUGCCUAAUACAUGCAAGUCGAGCGAACGGACGAGAAGCUUGCUUCUCUGAUGUUAGCGGCGGACGGGUGAGUAACACGUGGAUAACCUACCUAUAAGACUGGGAUAACUUCGGGAAACCGGAGCUAAUACCGGAUAAUAUUUUGAACCGCAUGGUUCAAAAGUGAAAGACGGUCUUGCUGUCACUUAUAGAUGGAUCCGCGCUGCAUUAGCUAGUUGGUAAGGCAACGGCUUACCAAGGCAACGAUGGAUAGCCGACCUGAGAGGGUGAACGGCCACACUGGAACUGAGAAACGGUACAGACUCCUACGGGAGGCAGCAGUAGGGACUCUUCCGCAAUGGGCGAAAGCCUGACGGAGCAAAGCCGCGUGAGUGAUGAAGGUCUUCGGAUCGUAAAACUCUGUUAUUAGGGAAGAACAUAUGUGUAAGUAACUGUGCACAUCUUGACGGUACCUAAUCAGAAAGCCACGGCUAACUACGUG
rnacentral:rRNA from 1 species